GACGAACGCUGGCGGCGUGCUUAACACAUGCAAGUCGAACGGGAUCCGGGCUUUCGGGUUUGGUGAGAGUGGCGAACGGGUGAGUAACACGUGAGUAACCUGCCCCCUUCUUUGGGAUAACGUCGGGAAAUCGGCGCUAAUACUGGAUAUUCUUGCUGCAUCGCCUGGUGUGGUUUGGAAAGGGUUUCUGGUGGGGGAUGGGCUCGCGGCCUAUCAGCUUGUUGGUGGGGUGAUGGCCUACCAAGGCUUUGACGGGUAGCCGGCCUGAGAGGGUGUCCGGCCACACUGGGACUGAGACACGGCCCAGACUCCUACGGGAGGCAGCAGUGGGGAAUAUUGCACAAUGGGCGCAAGCCUGAUGCAGCGACGCCGCGUGAGGGAUGACGGCCUUCGGGUUGUAAACCUCUUUCAGUAUGGAACAAGGAUCCUUCUUUUGGGGGGUUUGAGGGUACGUGCAGAAGAAGCGCCGGCUAACUACGUG
rnacentral:rRNA from 1 species